UUCACGCUGAGACGGUGGGAACCGCAGCC
rnacentral:sRNA from 1 species